UGAAGCUGUUAAUGUAAAAAAGAGUGUGAUAUUUUUACAUUCAUGUAGACCUAAUGCUGCACAAUAUAACAUUGCCUAAUUUUGUAUUAUCUUACUUUAUAUUUAUUUAACACCAAAGUCGAAUGCUCGAAAUGUGAUCUUUUUUUUUCUCAAUACUUUAAAUGUGGAAUAAAGCUUAGGGAGACACACAGAAAAUAUUACAGUAUCUUUUUUUUCUGACCUAUAUGUCUAAAGGUACCUAAAUACAAUUGUCUGACAUUGCAUGUGAGAGGUAAUGCAGCAAAUUUGAAAUUAUUUUUGUAAAAGUCUCCAAUGAAAUGCCAUAUUUUGCUGUUGAAUAUAUUUUGUGAUAGAUUGAUCAUACUUGUACAGGGCAGUUAAUUAUGGUUGUGAAACAAUAUGAUAUAAAGUGGUAUGGGAUACUUCCAUAUUGUGACAUACUAUUUAUCGAAAUAAACCCAAAAAUAUC
rnacentral:sRNA from 1 species